GUCUACGGCCGGCCAUUGCCGCCCUGCCCGAUCCCGUCUGAUCUCGGAAGCUAAGCAGGGUUGGCCCGGUUAGUACUUGGAUGGGAGACCACCUAGGAAGACCAGGUGCUGUAGGCG
rnacentral:rRNA from 1 species